GGGCCUGUAGCUCAGUUGGGAGAGCGCGUGGUUCGCAUUCACGAGGUUCGAGGGUUCGAUCCCCUUCAGGUCCACCA
rnacentral:tRNA from 1 species